rnacentral:rRNA from 1 species
UACGUAGGGAGCGAGCGUUGUCCGGAAUUACUGGGUGUAAAGGGAGCGUAGGCGGGAUUGCAAGUUGGAUGUGAAAACUGCGGGCUCAACCCGGAGAGUGCAUUCAAAACUGCGAUUCUUGAGUGAAGUAGAGGCAAGCGGAAUUCCUAGUGUAGCGGUGAAAUGCGUAGAUAUUAGGAGGAACACCAGUGGCGAAGGCGGCUUGCUGGGCUUUUACUGACGCUGAGGCUCGAAAGUGUGGGGAGCAA